CAUCCUCCAAGGCUAAAUACUCCUGGCUGACCGAUAGUGAACCAGUACCGUGAGGGAAAGGCGAAAAGAACCCCGGAGAGGGGAGUGAAAUAGAUCCUGAAACCGUGUGCGUACAAGCAGUGGGAGCAGACUCGUUCUGUGACCGCGUACCUUUUGUAUAAUGGGUCAGCGACUUAUAUUCCGUGGCGAGGUUAACCGAAUAGGGGAGCCGUAGCGAAAGCGAGUCUUAACUGGGCGCACCAGUCGCGGGAUAUAGACCCGAAACCGAGCGAUCUAUCCAUGAGCAGGGUGAAGAUUGAGUAACAUCAAUUGGAGGCCCGAACCAGGAUCUGUUGAAAAAGAUUUGGAUGACUUGUGGAUCGGAGUGAAAGGCUAAUCAAGCUCGGAGAUAGCUGGUUCUCCUCGAAAGCUAUUUAGGUAGCGCCUCACGUAGCACCGCCGGGGGUAGAGCACUGUUUCGGCUAGGGGGUCAUCCCGACUUACCAACCCGAGGCAAACUCCGAAUACCGGUGAGUGACGCGUGGGAGACACACAGCGGGUGCUAACGUCCGUUGUGAAAAGGGAAACAACCCAGACCGUCAGCUAAGGUCCCGAAAUCCUGGUUAAGUGGGAAACGAUGUGGGAAGGCUCAGACAGCUAGGAGGUUGGCUUAGAAGCAGCCAUCCUUUAAAGAAAGCGUAAUAGCUCACUAGUCGAGUCGGCCUGCGCGGAAGAUGUAACGGGGCUAAACCAGGUACCGAAGCUACGGGUUCACACUAUGUGUGAGCGGUAGAGGAGCGUCGUGUACGCCGAUGAAGGUGUGUUGAGAAGCAUGCUGGAGGUAUCACGAGUGCGAAUGCUGACAUGAGUAACGAUAAAGGGUGUGAAAAACACCCUCGCCGGAAGACCAAGGGUUUCUGUUCGACGCUAAUCGG
rnacentral:rRNA from 1 species